CCUACGGGAGGCAGCAGUGGGGAAUAUUGGACAAUGGGCGAAAGCCUGAUCCAGCCAUGCCGCGUGUGUGAAGAAGGCCUUCGGGUUGUAAAGCACUUUCAGUGGGGAAGAAAGCCUUGGGGCUAAUACCCUCGAGGAAGGACAUCACCCACAGAAGAAGCACCGGCUAACUCCGUGCCAGCAGCCGCGGUAAUACGGAGGGUGCGAGCGUUAAUCGGAAUUACUGGGCGUAAAGCGCGCGUAGGCGGUCUGAUAAGCCGGUUGUGAAAGCCCCGGGCUCAACCUGGGAACGGCAUCCGGAACUGUCAGGCUAGAGUGCAGUAGAGGAAGGUAGAAUUCCCGGUGUAGCGGUGAAAUGCGUAGAGAUCGGGAGGAAUACCAGUGGCGAAGGCGGCCUUCUGGACUGACACUGACGCUGAGGUGCGAAAGCGUGGGUAGCAAACAGGAUUAGAUACCCCGGUAGUC
rnacentral:rRNA from 1 species